CAGAACUUUCCAGAGAUGGAUUGGUGCCUUCGGGAACUGUGAGACAGGUGCUGCAUGGCUGUCGUCAGCUCGUGUUGUGAAAUGUUGGGUUAAGUCCCGCAACGAGCGCAACCCUUAUCCUUUGUUGCCAGCGGUCCGGCCGGGAACUCAAAGGAGACUGCCAGUGAUAAACUGGAGGAAGGUGGGGAUGACGUCAAGUCAUCAUGGCCCUUACGACCAGGGCUACACACGUGCUACAAUGGCGCAUACAAAGAGAAGCGACCUCGCGAGAGCAAGCGGACCUCAUAAAGUGCGUCGUAGUCCGGAUUGGAGUCUGCAACUCGACUCCAUGAAGUCGGAAUCGCUAGUAAUCGUGGAUCAGAAUGCCACGGUGAAUACGUUCCCGGGCCUUGUACACACCGCCCGUCACACCAUGGGAGUGGGUUGCAAAAGAAGUAGGUAGCUUAACCUUCGGGAGGGCGCUUACCACUUUGUGAUUCAUGACUGGGGUGAAGUCGUAACAAGGUAACCGUAGGGGAACCUGCGGCUGGAUCACCUC
rnacentral:rRNA from 1 species